AGAGUUUGAUCCUGGCUCAGAAUCAACGCUGGCGGCGUGCCUAACACAUGCAAGUCGAACGAGAAAGUGGAGCAAUCCAUGAGUAAAGUGGCGACCGGGUGAGUAACACGUGACUAACUUACCUUCGAGUGGGGGAUAACCUAGGGAAACCUGGGCUAAUACCGCAUAACAUCUUUGGAGUGGAAAUUCUGGAGAUCAAA
rnacentral:rRNA from 1 species